GGUGAGGUAACGGCUCACCAAGACCGCGAUCGGUAGCCGGACUGAGAGGUUGAACGGCCACAUUGGGACUGAGACACGGCCCAGACUCCUACGGGAGGCAGCAGUGGGGGAUAUUGCGCAAUGGGGGCAACCCUGACGCAGCAACGCCGCGUGAAGGAUGAAGGUUUUCGGAUUGUAAACUUCUUUUAUUAAGGACGAAAAAUGACGGUACUUAAUGAAUAAGCUCCGGCUAACUACGUGCCAGCAGCCGCGGUAAUACGUAGGGAGCAAGCGUUGUCCGGAUUUACUGGGUGUAAAGGGUGCGUAGGCGGCUUUGCAAGUCAGAUGUGAAAUCUAUGGGCUCAACCCAUAAACUGCAUUUGAAACUGUAGAGCUUGAGUGAAGUAGAGGCAGGCGGAAUUCCCCGUGUAGCGGUGAAAUGCGUAGAGAUGGGGAGGAACACCAGUGGCGAAGCGGCCUGCUGGGCUUUAACUGACGCUGAGCACGAAAGCGUGGUAGCAAACAGAUUAGAUACCCUGGUAGUCACGCUGUAACGA
rnacentral:rRNA from 1 species